rnacentral:rRNA from 1 species
CAAUAGCGUAUAUUUAAGUUGAUGCAGUUAAAAAGCUCGUAGUUGGAUUUCGGAUGGGAUUUGCCGGUCCGUCGUUACGAUGUGCACUGGCCAGUCCUAUCUUGUUGUCGGGGACUAGCUCCUUGGAUUCACUUCCUGGGACUAGGAGCUGACGAGGUUACUUUGAGUAAAUUAGAGUGUUCAAAGCAAGCCUACGCUCUGAAUACAUUAGCAUGGAAUAACACGAUAGGACUCUGGCUUAUCUUGUUGGUCUGUGAGACCAGAGUAAUGAUUAAGAGGGACAGUCGGGGACAUUCGUAUUUCAUUGUCAGAGGUGAAAUUCUUGGAUUUAUGAAAGACGAACUUCUGCGAAAGCAUUUGUCAAGGAUGUUUUCAUUAA